rnacentral:rRNA from 1 species
UACGUAGGGGGCAAGCGUUGUCCGGAUUUAUUGGGCGUAAAGAGCGUGUAGGCGGUCAGGUAGGUCCGUUGUGAAAACUCGAGGCUCAACCUCGAGACGCCGAUGGAAACCAUCUGACUAGAGUCCGGAAGAGGAGAGUGGAAUUCCGUGGUGUAGCGGUGAAAUGCGCAGAUAUCAGGAAGAACACCGUGGCUAAGGCGGCUCUCUAGUACGGUACUGACGCUGAGACGCGAAAGCGUGGGGAGCGAACAGG